ACGCGAAGAACCUUACCCAGGUCUUGAAGAGCGAGUGACCAUCGACGAAAGUCGACUUCCGCAAGGACGCUCGUAGAGGUGCUGCAUGGCUGUCGUCAGCUCGUGUCGUGAGAUGUUGGGUUAAGUCCCGCAACGAGCGCAACCCUUGUUUGCUGUUGCCAUCAGGUUAUGCUGGGCACUCUGCAAAGACUGCCGGUGAUAAACCGGAGGAAGGUGGGGAUGACGUCAAGUCAGCAUGGCCUUUAUGUCUGGGGCUACACACGUGCUACAAUGGCCGAUACAAACCGUCGCAGAGCCGCAAGGUGAAGCUAAUCGGAGAAAGUCGGUCUCAGUUCGGAUUGUAGGCUGCAACUCGCCUGCAUGAAGUUGGAAUCGCCAGUAAUCGCAGAUCAGCAUUGCUGCGGUGAAUACGUUCCCGGGUCUUGUACACACCG
rnacentral:rRNA from 1 species